rnacentral:rRNA from 1 species
UUGAACGCUGGCGGCAGGCCUAACACAUGCAAGUCGAGCGGCAGCGCGGGGCAACCUGGCGGCGAGCGGCGGACGGGUGAGUAACGCGUAGGAAUCUACCCAGUAGCGGGGGAUAGCCCGGGGAAACUCGGAUUAAUACCGCAUACGCCCUAAGGGGGAAAGCAGGGGAUCUUCGGACCUUGCACUAUUGGCAGAGCCUGCGUUGGAUUAGCUAGUUGGUAGGGUAAAGGCCUACCAAGGCAACGAUCCAUCACUGGUCUGAGAGGAUGAUCAGUCACACCGGAACUGGGACACGAGCCGGACUCCUACGGGAGGCAGCAGUGGGGAAUAUUGGACAAUGGGGGCAGCCCUGAUCCAGCCAUGCCGCGUGUGUGAAGAAGGCCUUCGGGUUGUAAAGCACUUUAAGUGGGGAGAAAGGUUCGGCUGUUAAUACCUGCCGGAAGUGAUGUUACCCACAGAAUAAGCACCGGCUAACUCUGUGCCAGCAGCCGCCGUA